AAAUACUGCUGCAGCUGCACCUCGCUCAAGAGUUCCAGAAGCCAUUCUGAGCCUUCAUCUGGCUGCAUGCUACUCCCCAACCUCUCAAAAUUGGCCCAGGUGGA